rnacentral:tRNA from 1 species
GGCUCCGUCGUCUAGUGGCCUAGGACACCUGGUUUUCAUCCAGGUAAUCGAGGGUUCGACUCCCUCCGGAGUCA